rnacentral:rRNA from 1 species
CAGCCGCCGCGGUAAUACAGAGGAUGCAAGCGUUGUCCGGAAUUAUUGGGCGUAAAGGGCACGCAGGCGGUUUCUUAAGUCUGAUGUGAAAGCCCCCGGCUCAACCGGGGAGGGUCAUUGGAAACUGGGAAACUUGAGUGCAGAAGAGGAGAGUGGAAUUCCACGUGUAGCGGUGAAAUGCGUAGAGAUUAGGAGGAACACCAGUGGCGAAGGCGGCUUUUUGGCCUGUAACUGACACUGAGGCGCGAAAGCGUGGGGAGCAAACAGGAUUAGAUACCCGGGUAGUCCCUGUCUCUUAUAC